rnacentral:rRNA from 1 species
CCUACGGGUGGCAGCAGUGGGGGAUAUUGCACAAUGGGGGAAACCCUGAUGCAGCGACGCCGCGUGAGGGAAGACGGUCCUCUGGAUUGUAAACCACUGUCCCCAGGGACGAAGAUGCCGGUACCUGGGGAGGAAGCUCCGGCUAACUACGUGCCAGCAGCCGCGGUAAUACGUAGGGAGCGAGCGUUGUCCGGAAUUACUGGGUGUAAAGGGAGCGUAGGCGGGGAUGCAAGGUGGGUGUCAAAACUACCGGCUCAACUGGUAGUCGCACUCAAAACUGCCGGUCUUGAGGGAAGUAGAGGCAGGCGGAAUUCCUAGUGUAGCGGUGAAAUGCGUAGAUAUUAGGAGGAACACCAGUGGCGAAGGCGGUCUGCUGGACAGCAACUGACGCUGAGGCGCGAAAGCGUGGGGAGCAAACAGGAUUAGAUACCCUAGUAGUC